CACCGCGGUCAUACAAGUGUCAGCCCAAGUGGACAAUUACGGCGUAAAGCGUGGUUAGGGAACACCCCCCCACUAAAGAAGAACCUCCUCCCGGCCGUUAUACGCACCCGACAGUAUGAAACCCCACCACGAAAGUGACUUUAACCUGGCCUGAACCCACGAAAGCUGAGGAAA
rnacentral:rRNA from 1 species